rnacentral:lncRNA from 1 species
UGAGGCAGCCAGCGCAGGGGCUUCUGCUGAGGGGGCAGGCGGAGCUUGAGGAAACCGCAGAUAAGUUUUUUUCUCUUUGAAAGAUAGAGAUUAAUACAACUACUUAAAAAAUAUAGUCAAUAGGUUACUAAGAUAUUGCUUAGCGUUAAGUUUUUAACGUAAUUUUAAUAGCUUAAGAUUUUAAGAGAAAAUAUGAAGACUUAGAAGAGUAGCAUGAGGAAGGAAAAGAUAAAAGGUUUCUAAAACAUGACGGAGGUUGAGAUGAAGCUUCUUCAUGGAGUAAAAAAUGUAUUUAAAAGAAAAUUGAGAGAAAGGACUACAGAGCCCCGAAUUAAUACCAAUAGAAGGGCAAUGCUUUUAGAUUAAAAUGAAGGUGACUUAAACAGCUUAAAGUUUAGUUUAAAAGUUGUAGGUGAUUAAAAUAAUUUGAAGGCGAUCUUUUAAAAAGAGAUUAAACCGAAGGUGAUUAAAAGACCUUGAAAUCCAUGACGCAGGGAGAAUUGCGUCAUUUAAAGCCUAGUUAACGCAUUUACUAAACGCAGACGAAAAUGGAAAGAUUAAUUGGGAGUGGUAGGAUGAAACAAUUUGGAGAAGAUAGAAGUUUGAAGUGGAAAACUGGAAGACAGAAGUACGGGAAGGCGAAGAAAAGAAUAGAGAAGAUAGGGAAAUUAGAAGAUAAAAACAUACUUUUAGAAGAAAAAAGAUAAAUUUAAACCUGAAAAGUAGGAAGCAGAAGAAAAAAGACAAGCUAGGAAACAAAAAGCUAAGGGCAAAAUGUACAAACUUAGAAGAAAAUUGGAAGAUAGAAACAAGAUAGAAAAUGAAAAUAUUGUCAAGAGUUUCAGAUAGAAAAUGAAAAACAAGCUAAGACAAGUAUUGGAGAAGUAUAGAAGAUAGAAAAAUAUAAAGCCAAAAAUUGGAUAAAAUAGCACUGAAAAAAUGAGGAAAUUAUUGGUAACCAAUUUAUUUUAAAAGCCCAUCAAUUUAAUUUCUGGUGGUGCAGAAGUUAGAAGGUAAAGCUUGAGAAGAUGAGGGUGUUUACGUAGACCAGAACCAAUUUAGAAGAAUACUUGAAGCUAGAAGGGGAAGUUGGUUAAAAAUCACAUCAAAAAGCUACUAAAAGGACUGGUGUAAUUUAAAAAAAACUAAGGCAGAAGGCUUUUGGAAGAGUUAGAAGAAUUUGGAAGGCCUUAAAUAUAGUAGCUUAGUUUGAAAAAUGUGAAGGACUUUCGUAACGGAAGUAAUUCAAGAUCAAGAGUAAUUACCAACUUAAUGUUUUUGCAUUGGACUUUGAGUUAAGAUUAUUUUUUAAAUCCUGAGGACUAGCAUUAAUUGACAGCUGACCCAGGUGCUACACAGAAGUGGAUUCAGUGAAUCUAGGAAGACAGCAGCAGACAGGAUUCCAGGAACCAGUGUUUGAUGAAGCUAGGACUGAGGAGCAAGCGAGCAAGCAGCAGUUCGUGGUGAAGAUAGGAAAAGAGUCCAGGAGCCAGUGCGAUUUGGUGAAGGAAGCUAGGAAGAAGGAAGGAGCGCUAACGAUUUGGUGGUGAAGCUAGGAAAAAGGAUUCCAGGAAGGAGCGAGUGCAAUUUGGUGAUGAAGGUAGCAGGCGGCUUGGCUUGGCAACCACACGGAGGAGGCGAGCAGGCGUUGUGCGUAGAGGAUCCUAGACCAGCAUGCCAGUGUGCCAAGGCCACAGGGAAAGCGAGUGGUUGGUAAAAAUCCGUGAGGUCGGCAAUAUGUUGUUUUUCUGGAACUUACUUAUGACUUUUUUCAGAUAACAUCUUCUGAGUCAUAACCAGCCUGGCAGUAUGAUGGCCUAGAUGCAGAGAAAACAGCUCCUUGACAGGUAUCUCUUCGUUAUCAGAAGAGUUGCUUCAUUUCAUCUGGGAGCAGAAAACAGCAGGCAGCUGUUAACAGAUAAGUUUAACUUGCAUCUGCAGUAUUGCAUGUUA